GACGUGGGAUACCACUUAGGAAACAGGUGCUAAUACCGGAUAACAACAUGAAUCGCAUGAUUCAAGUUUGAAAGGCGGCGUAAGCUGUCACUUUAGGAUGAGCCCGCGGCGCAUUAGCUAGUUGGUGGGGUAAAGGCCUACCAAGGCAAUGAUGCGUAGCCGAGUUGAGAGACUGAUCGGCCACAUUGGGACUGAGACACGGCCCAAACUCCUACGGGAGGCAGCAGAC
rnacentral:rRNA from 1 species